UACGUAGGGCGCGAGCGUUAAUCGGAAUUACUGGGCGUAAAGCGUGCGCAGGCGGUUUUGUAAGCCAGAUGUGAAAUCCCCGGGCUCAACCUGGGAAUGGCAUUUGGGACUGCAAGGCUCGAGUGCGGCAGAGGAGACUGGAAUUCCUGGUGUAGCAGUGAAAUGCGUAGAUAUCAGGAGGAAUACGGAUGGCGAAGGCAGGUCUCUGGGCUGACACUGACGCUCAUGCACGAAAGCGUGGGGAGCGAACAGG
rnacentral:rRNA from 1 species